AUAUUCCGAGGCCGGGAUGUGACACUCCUCUACAGCCAGCUGCAGGUCUUCUUCUCCAGCGUGCUGUGUGCCAAGCCCAGGAGCAGCCGGAACUCCAGCAUCGAGGCCUUCGCUGUCUGUCAGGGCUAUGACCCUCCCGAGGGCUUCAUCCCGGACCUGAGCAAACCCCUGCUGGACCAUUCUUACGACCCAGAUUUCAACCAGCUGGAUGGUCCCACCCGCAUCAUUGUGCCUUUUGUGACCUGUGGGGACCUGAGCUCCUAUGAUUCGGACCGCAGUUACCCACUGGACCUAGAGGGCAGCUCAGAGUACAAGUACACUCCACCCACACAGCCCCCCAUCUCACCACCAUACCAGGAGGCCUGCACGUUGAAGAAGAAGGGGCAGCUGGCCAAGGAGAUCCGCCCCCAGGACUGCCCCAUCAGCAGAGUGGACACGUUUUCCCAGCCCCUGGCCGCCCCUCAGUGCCACACCCUGCUGGCCCCUGAGGUCUGGAAAUGUGACUCUCAGCCUGCCUUGACCCCUUCCCCGUGUGCCUUUUUCUGACCCAAAUCUCAUGGUUUCUGGGGCCAAAAUUCCCUUUCCUGCCUCCCAAUAGCUAUAAAAAAUUGGUAAAGCCAAGCAUAAUGAAUGGAAAAGUUUUGCCAAAUAUGUGAGUCACUUUUCUUUUUCUUGGGUAGAUGGAAGACAAUGAAAUGAGUUGUUCACCUUAACCCAUUAUGCUGGCAAGCUGAUACAACUCAGAAACUGCUCAAUGUCAGGAAAACCGGAACUUGUUAAUGAACUUGUUUUCAAAAUAUCAU
rnacentral:sRNA from 1 species